CUGCCGUUUUGGAGAUGCUCUGACCCAGUCAUCUAGCCAUCACAAUUUGGCCCUUGUCAAAGUCGCUCAGAUCCUUACGCUUGACCAUUUUUCCUGCUUCUAACACAUCAACUUUGAAGACAGAAUGUUCAGUUGCUGCCUAAUAUAUCCCACCCACUGACAGGUGCCAUGAUAAUGAGAUUAUCAGUGUUAUUCACUUCACCUGUCAUUGGUCAUAAUGUUAUGGCUGAUCAAUGUAUGUACACGCUGGUGGCCAAACGUUUGGAAUAAUGUACAGGUUUUCCUAUUUAGGAAGGAACUGUAUACUUUUAUUCACCAAAGUCGCAUUCAGUUGAUCACAAAGUAUAAUCAGGACAUUAUUGAUGUAAAAAAACAGCACCAUCACUAUAUGACACCAUCACAAAUCUAGUCAGGCCCCAUUUCCUGCAGUCAUCACUCUAACACCUUAUCGUAAGUAAUUAUGCUUAAUGGAUAAUUUGGUACUAGAAAAUCACUUCCCAUGAUAUCAAACACAGCUGAAAGCUGUUUGGUUUGUUAAAUGAACCUUAACAUUGUGUUUGUUUUCAAGUUGCCACAGCAUGCAGUAGACUGGCAUGUCUUAAGGUCCAUAUUCGGUCGUUACGUCCCCAGUGCUUCCUGUUGCUCUGUGUUCGUAUGUGUGUUUGUGCCUUGUUUCUCUGUCUGGUGGUUGCAGGCUUCUUAAUAGUAAUUGGCUUCCUGAUCGCCGGUUGCAGCUGAAUGAUCGUUUUCGGGCUGGUUGGAGAGCUGACUUCUGACUUCAGUCGUUGCAACUGGUUCAGCCUGCAUAUAAGCCACAGAGUUCUGAAAUCUCUUUCACUCGCUGCUGCUCUUCUGUUGUUUGGUCCGUGUUGCUGUCUAUGAGUUGGAAGAACAUUUGUGAAUUAGUGCUUUGUGAGAUCUGUGUGAGAGCAGUGCAUUUGCAUUAUUGUUUGCGUUGUGACCAUUAUUUGGGUUAAAACCUAUUUCAUUUGUUUCCAGGGGAAGGGGAAAGCCAUUGUGCUUUAGACUAGAGGCCCUUGGGCAUACACCACCCGUAGCUUUACUCUGUCUAAAACCACUAGGUAAGACCUGGGACAUACACCUCCCUUAGCUUUACUCUGUCUAAAACCACUAGGUCAGACCUGGGCGGACCACCCCCUGUAGUUUGGUUAGAACACCGGCGCAAGAGGUCCCAGUUAGGUUAGAUCUCUGUUUGACAGGUAAGGCAGGGUUAGAGGGUUUGGGUUUAUUUUUACUUUCUUUGUUUUGGUUCCGUCCAGCCCCUUUUCCCUAAAUUACCGUUGUAAUAGAUAGUCUUGUGAACGGUAGUCCUGCCUCUGUCGUCCGUACUCACACCCACGACCCCCUACCCAUUCUGACCAUUCCAUAGGGGCUUCACGUGUAGUGGGGUGUUGCUCUCUCCUCUGGGAGGCGGGACUAACAUGGGUCAAAGAUGGCAAAAAAAAGAAACAGCUUUCGUGUCAGUCAAUCAAUGUUUUGAGGAAUGAAGACUUGAAAGGCUUUCAGUGCCAAGAAACUGAAGAUUUCAUAAAAAGGUGUACACUGCAGUCUUCAAAGACAAAGGAGAACUGGCUCUAACAAGGACAGAAAGAGAAGUGGAAGACCCAGAUGUAACUAAACAAGUGUCUAGUUUGUGAAAUACAUGCCUCAAAUGUCCUCAGCUGACAGCUUCAUUGAAUUCUACCUGCUCAACACCAGUUUCAUGUACAACAGUAAAGCGAAGACUCAGAGGACCAGGCCCUAUGGGAAGAAUUGCAAAGAAAAAGCCAUUUUAGGAACGGAAAAACUAAACGUUUGAGUGGGCAAUGACACAGACAUUGGACAACAGAUUAUCGGAAAGGAGCGAUGAAACCAUUGAGCUUUUAUGGGAUCAGCUAGAAUGUAAGGUGGGUGAGAAGUGCCCUGACAAGUCAACCACAUCUAUAACAAGUGCUACAGGAAUCAUACGAGGUGCAAUGAUAGUGUGAAGAAACUGACAGCUAGAAUGCAAAAAUCUGCAAAGCUGUCUUUGCUGCACAUGGAUGAUUUUUGGUUUUCUUUAAGAUUAAGAAGUUUCUUUAAGAAGUUCUAAUCAUUUUACAAAUUGUAACAGUACCUUUUCAGGUAAUUAGUCACCGACGCUGGCUUUUCACCUGUACACUGAUAAGCAGGAUGGUCCCUUUCCUUUUUAGCCCGGGGGACGCGGCGUCCACGAUUCCCAAAAAAAAUAUCACAUUUUAAUUUGUCAGACCACAGGACAGUUUUCCACUUUGCCUCAGUCCAUCUUAAAUGAGCUUGGGCCCAGAGAAGGUAGCAGCGGUUCUGGAUCUAGUUAAUGCAUGGUUUCUUCUCUGUAUGGUAGACUUUUAACUUGCAUUUGUGGAUGCAGCAACAUACUGUGUUCACAGACAAUAGUUUUGGAAGUGUUCCUGAGUCCAUGCAGUGAUGUCCAUUACAGAUUUGAGUCUAUUUUUAAUACAGUGGCCCCAAAGAUCACAACCAUGUAUAUUUGUUUUUAUCCCUUGCAUACAGAGAUUUAUCCGGAUUCUCUGAAUCUUUUAAUAAUAAUAUGUACUGUAGAUGAUAUGACCCCAAACUCUAAAUUGCAAUUUUACAUUGAUAAAUGUUGUUCUUAAAUACAUUGAACAUAAUGUAACAGCUGGCCUGUGCCAUGCCAGCUGUUACUUAAUGUUCAAUGUAUUUUGGUUCUGUUUGUUCUGUUUCUAUGUUCUUUGACUGAGUUCACCUGAAUCUUAUCCCUCAUGAUCUCUCCCAGUUCCCUGUGUGUGUUGGUGGUCACUGUUUAAUUGUGACGUUGCUGUUCAUGGCUUUUAUUUUGGAGCCUGUGAAAAUUUUGACUGAUUAGGAAAUGUUUUGUAAAUGUGUGCCUUUGUCCUGCCUUACCCCUCAUUUCACAGAAAUCAGUAAACAGGAUGUGGUUUUCUCGUCUGAUAACUUCCAACUCUCACACAAACCUCCUUUUGAUACAGGCAUCAUUUUAACUGUUGAGGCACCAGCUAACCAUGUCAAGACCUUAUCUCUUGUUUCUGUAUUUAAAGGUACUUGAUUUGAGAACGUCUACUAUCAGUAAAUUGGCAGGUUUUCAUAUUUUUGCAUGAGUAACUAAGAAACAUUUUCAGUUUGAAAGUCAAGGUAGUAGAAAAAAUUACUUCAGGUGUUAGUGCAGGAGCACAGCAGUGGACGCAAAUUUGUGUUGGUUAAAUCAAGUAAGUUAUUAAAAUCAGGUGGGUAGAUAAUUGGGUACCAAAUGAGCCUAUCAAAGGAGAUAUUUGUAAAAAGUUGUGGCGGGACAGACAAACAGAGACCAGAGGGGUAUACUACGAAGGGAGUUCAACACUACUCAGAUUUAACUCAGGGUUAUCAAGAAAAGUCAGGGUUAACAAACUCUGAUUGCCUAAAGGGGUGUUAAAUGGUACAACGAUGAUGAUUUUGAUGUUUGAUAGUUGACUCUGUGCGCGUUCGCCUAAAAGGGGUUCUCUAUAUAGCCAAGGCCCAGUAUGUAUAUACAAAUAGACCAAGAAUCUUUUGCAAAUUACUUGCAAUCGCAUAAAAAGCAUACUUGAUCUUAAGAACGCUUAAAUGGCCAGGGAACACAACAAAUGCAUCAAUCAAUUCAGUGAGAGCUAACACCUUGCAGACUGCACGGCAUAGCCUACAGUAUUCUGAUCACUGCACGGCAUAGCCUACAGUAUUCUGAUCACUGCACGGCACAGCCUACAGUAUUCUGAUCACUGCACGGCACAGCCUACAGUAUUCUGAUCACUGCACGGCAUAGCCUACAGUAUUCUGAUCACUGCACGGCACAGCCUACAGUAUUCUGAUCACUGCACGGCACAGCCUACAGUAUUCUGAUCACUGCACGGCAUAGCCUACAGUAUUCUGAUCACUGCACGGCAUAGCCUAUAGUAUUCUGAUCACUGCACGGCAUAGCCUACAGUAUUCUGAUCACUGCACGGCACAGCCUACAGUAUUCUGAUCACUGCACGGCACAGCCUACAGUAUUCUGAUCACUGCACGGCAUAGCCUACAGUAUUCUGAUCACUGCACGGCACAGCCUACAGUAUUCUGAUCACUGCACGGCACAGCCUACAGUAUUCUGAUCACUGCACGGCAUAGCCUACAGUAUUCUGAUCACUGCACGGCAUAGCCUAUAGUAUUCUGAUCACUGCACGGCAUAGCCUACAG
ensembl:lncRNA